GGCUCUGUCCCCUCCCGGUGGGACGAGCCCGGAGCCCCGGGGGAGCAGCCCCGGCCCGGCCCAGCCUGGGGGCAGCGGGCGGGGGGCCCGUGGCCGCCUCCCUGCAGCGUGGCUGGGCCAGAUGUGCCCAGGUGUGCCCAGGUGGGCCUCAGGUACACCCCAGGUGUGCUCAGGUACACUCAAGGUGUGCCCCAGGUGUACCCUCCUGUGCCCAGGCGUGCCCAGGUGUGCCCCAGGUGUGCCCUAGCUGUACCCACCUCUGCUCAGGUGGGCUCCAGGUGCAGCCAGCUGUGGCCAGAUGUACUCCAGGGGGGGCCCCAUGUGUGCCCAGGUGUACUCCAGGUGUGCCCAGGUGCUCCUGAGGUGUGCCAGGUGCACCCGGCUGUGCCCAGGUGUGCCCAGGUGUGUCCAGCUGUGCCCAGGUGCACUCCAGGUGUAGCCGGGUGUACCCAUACAUACCCCAGCUGUGCCCAGGUGUGCCCAGGUGUGCCCAGGUGUGUGUGUGCGUGUGCUCUGUGUGUGCAGCACAAGAUCCAAUCACUCCUUGCGUUCUCUGUUUCGUCCUUGGGUUGAUCAUUUUCGGGUUUUUUUAAAUUUAAAUUCCUUUUUUCUUCCUUUUCCCCCCUCCUCUGAUUUUUCGGUUUGUUUUUUUUAAUUUUUUUUUUUUUUUUGUAUCUCGAUCAUUUUUGUACAGAAGAAACGAGAGCCUUUUUUUGAAUAACAAAGAGAAAACACACACAAAAAAGAACAAAAAACCAAAUAAAAAAAAAAAGACCAAAAAAAAGAAAGGAAAAAAAAAAGGAAAAAAAAAAUCAUGAUGCAAUUUCUUUGGAUUGCAAAAAAAGCAACUCUUUACAUUUAAGUGAAGUGUCUUAACAUUUUAUAUUGUUUUAAAAAAUAUAUUUACAUAUUAUAAAUAUAUAAUAUACGUAAUAUAAAUCUAUAUAUAAAUAUUUAAAGAGGGGAAAAAAAAAACCUAAAAUAAAAAAAACCUUUAAAAAAAAAAAAAAAAAAGGAAAAAGAAGAGAAAUAAAUAAAUCACGUCCGGUAUUAUUUAGGGGUGGAGUUAAAAUCCCUGCUUAGGUUUAGAGCUCCUCGUGGUGCCCAGAGCGGCUCCGUCGCCCUCGCGCUCAGUCCUGCCCUCUCUCCUUGGCCCCAGGUGGCCCCGGGUGGCCCCAGGUGGCCCCAGGUGGCCCCGGGGACCCCCGCCCGCCCCCAGUGCCAGCAGCAAUAGCAGUCGCUGACGCCUUUGCGAUUAAUUUCGUUUUUAAUUAAUUUCCGUUCUCGGUACCAAAGUGAAUUCUCUGUAGCAGCUCCCGGCCCGGCGGGGGGUGGCACCUGGCGCUGUCCCCUCCCCUGCCCCGCGUCACCCCCCGGUGGCACCUGGCGCUGUCCCCUCCCCUGCCCCGCGUCACCCCCGGUGGCACCUCCUGUCACCUCGUGUCACCCCGGGGGGUGCGGUGACAGCUCCCGAGCUCUGCUGGCUGGAGGUGACAAUGCCACCCCUUGGGGACACCCACAUGGAGAGGUGACAGUGCCACCCCUUGGGGACACCCAGAUGGAGAGGUGGCAGUGCCACCCCUUGGGGACACCCAGAUGGGAGAGGUGACAGUGCCACCCCUUGGGGACACCCAGAUGGAGAGGUGGCAGUGCCACCCCUUGGGGACACCCACAUGGAGGUGACAGUGCCACCCCUUGGGGACACCCAGAUGGAGAGGUGACAGUGCCACCCCUUGGGGACACCCAGCUGAGGGUGACAGUGCCACCCUCCUUUAUUACCCCCUCAGAAAUGACACGGGGGGUGACAAUGCCACCCUUGUGGUGACACGCACAGAAAUGACAUGAGGCGGUGACAGUGCCACCCCCUUGAGGACACCCUCAGAAAUGACACGGGGGGUGACAAUUGCCACCCUCCGUGGGGACACGUGCACGGCGUGGGUGACAAGUGCCACCCCCUUGUGGACUCCCUCGAGAAUGUCAUGGGGGGUGACAAGUGCCACCCUCCGUGGGGACACCCACGUGAGGAGGUGACAAUUGCCACCCUCCAUCCCCAAAAAUGACACCGGAGGGGGCUGUCCUCAGUGUCCCCACCUGGGUGUCCCCACCUGGGUGUCCCCACCUGGGUGUCCCCACCCCGAUGUCCCCAAGCUGUCCCCGAUUUUGGGGGUGUUGUCCCCAGGCCGCCCCUCCCAGCUCGGUGUCACUGGCUCAGAGCAGGGAGGUGACAGCGCCAGGGGAGGGGGCGGCAGCGCCGGGUGAGGGGGUGGCAGGCCCCAGGCUGUCCCCCGCCGCCCCCAGUGUCCCCUGUCCCGCCUGGUGUCCCCUGUCCCGCCUGGUGUCCCCGCGUGCGUGUGCGUCCGUCCCCUUCAUGGCAUCGCGCAAAUCCCUCGCUGAAGCAAGACGACAACAACAACAAAAAACACCAAAAAAAUCAAAAUUAACAGCAAAACAACGCAGUUCUGGCUCAGACCAGGAAAAAAGCAUUUUUAAAAAGAUUGAAAAAAAGAGGAAAAUGUGUAAAAAUGACAAAAAAAGCCCAAACCCGAGCGCUGCCUGCAUCGUGCAUGUGUCGGAGGCGCCGCUGCAUGCGCUCCCCGCUUUACUCGUCUGGAUGUUGUUUCAAAACAAACAAACAAACAAAAGGCUACGACACUGAAAAGGACAAAAAAAAAAGGACAAACUGGGAAGAAAAAGUGAAAAAAGGCCAAAAAAAGGAACAGGAAGGAAUUUCUGGUUCUCCUCAGAGGCUGUUUUGGGGUUUCUACGCCGUCGUGUGUCUCUCUCUCUCUCUCUUCCGCAUGAAUUUUCUCGUGAACUGUUUUAAAAAGGAAAUAAAAGGAACAAAAAGUACAAAAAAAAAAAGGGUUGAAAAUGGAGGGGAAAAAAAAAAAAGGAAAAAAAUGAAGAAAAAUGUAAAAAAAAAAAAAAAAGCCUCGCACAGGGGAAAAGCGGGGGAGGGGAGGGAGGGCCCCCCCACCCUGUGCCACCCCCGCCGUGUCCCCCGUGUCACCGUGGAUGCCAUGGGUAGUUGUGUGUGACCGUUGUAAUUCCCGUGACAAAAGGGUUGCUUUUUAUUAUUUUCCUUUUUCCCUUUAUAAUUUUUCUUUUCUAUCAGAGUGUCUGGCUUUAAUAAAAUUACUUUUUUUUUUU